rnacentral:rRNA from 1 species
UACGAAGGGGGCUAGCGUUGCUCGGAAUCACUGGGCGUAAAGCGCACGUAGGCGGAUUGCUAAGUCAGGGGUGAAAUCCUGGAGCUCAACUCCAGAACUGCCUUUGAUACUGAAGAUCUUGAGUUCGGGAGAGGUGAGUGGAACUGCGAGUGUAGAGGUGAAAUUCGUAGAUAUUCGCAAGAACACCAGUGGCGAAGGCGGCUCACUGGCCCGAUACUGACGCUGAGACGCGAAAGCGUGGGGAGCAACAGG